rnacentral:tRNA from 1 species
GACCCCGUAGCUCAGCGGAAAGAGCAGUGGCCUUCGAAGCCAUGUGCGAGGGUUCAACUCCCUCCGGGGUCG